rnacentral:lncRNA from 1 species
UUAUUUAUUUAUUUUUGAGAAACAGCUAAAUUCUUGGUGACUUUCACUGCAGCCUUACACAGUGAGCUGUGAAUCGCACCAGAACCAUGUGUGAUGUAACAGAACCAUACAUUCCACAGAUUCCCUUUCCCAAAAGUGAGUUCUAGUUGGCUCUGACUUGCUAAUACCUGAUUUGAAAACCAAGAGAGGAAAUGAACUCAUGAUGGCUCUGAAUCACUCUAUAGCUUGAGUAGAAUGGCAUGCAGUCCCCCUUGGUGGGGAUCAAGAAGGACACACAUUCUAAAGCUGCAGGCCAAGAGGGAGCCUAGAAGAGAAGAUUGCUAGAACCAAUUCAGG